CAGGCACAACCUCAUGCCCUUCUCUUAGUAAAGGACAGCGUUUCGCUUGGAGCCGAGAUAUUUUUUCCACCCUUUUGGCCUCGCCGAGCUUUUUAACGAUCACUUCCAUGCUGCUUGUCUCUAAUCUGCUGAGAGAUGCUGUCGGUACAAACUGUACUGUGAGACUGUGAGAAAAUUACACCACAACCCACAUGGAAGCCCUGCUUUUGGUUCCAGGAUGUCUGCUGGGACUGCUGUUAAGAAUAUGUGUCUAAAGAAGGAGCUCAUUCUAAUUCUUGGUGCACAGCUAGAAAGCAGAUGUUUCGUGGAAGUGCUGAAGAUCAGACAGCUAACUAGAGGAAGAUCGAUACUGAAACUCAUUUAAUUUCCAGAUGCAGGUGCUGCUUUCUUUGCUGAAGGCAUCAUUCUCAGAUGGGGUCUCUGCAGUGUGGUGGUAAAGAUGGCUACCACAAGCUCCUGACUUACAUCUUGUUUCAAAUGCUGAUGGAUAUUGGAAGUAUGGCUACUGUGUCUCCCCAAAUGAUUUAGUCUCCAAAAUUAAAACACAAAAUUAAAAUAAAA